rnacentral:lncRNA from 1 species
AAAAUAAAUAAAAGUAAAUAUUGCAGCCAUCCAAUAUUUUUGAGUAUACCAAAUUGUGUUUGUUUCCCGUGCAGCGUAGUUUCCCCGUUGAUAGUUAGAAAAAAAGAAUACGAACUCCUGCAAAAGAAAUGUACAAUAAUGAGUAGUAGAAGAUAGAAACAUAAUUAUAGAAUAAAUGAGAAAAGUACAUGGAUUCAAAGUUGGAUGGAAAUCCUCUUCGUAGCCGUUAGUUGGUACUAAAACAAUUUUUUGUUAGUAAAAUUGCAAAAUUGGACUCCAAUUUAUUGUUCCUCCAAUAUAUUGUUCCACAUCCUUGAAGAAACAACAAGUUAGAUACUAACUUGAGUCUUCAAAAAUUAAGUAUCAAACUAACACUAUCUAUAAUUUCCCCUUUCCAAUUCGAAUUUUCCUGUGGACUCCCCUCUGUCAAACUAAUUAUAUGCAUCAACUAAAUAUAUAACACCAAAACAAAUAAUUUUGUCUCUAUUAUAAGUUGAAACUGAAUUGGACAAAAUGCAUGCUUAUAAGAAAAUAAAUUUUAUGGGUAACAUUAAUUUUAAGAUAUUUCCAACAAUCUCAAUUGCCUAAUAACACAUUGCAGUAAGCCAGGAACCACCAAUAUCAAAGUAAAGCUUACCCAUAGCCCAAUCCACAAAUUAAUGGGAUAAAAUUAAAAAAAAAUUAUGAUAUAUUGUCUUCUUCGCACUUGCUUUUUUUACUUUAUGGGCCCGACACUAUUUUCUUUUCAUGGUCGAGAUUUUCGCUGUUGAAGUUUGUUUCAUUUUUCUAGUUUUCCCUAUUGAAGCUUCCUCAUUUGAAAUCAAUUCACAAUCGAGGUUCCUUCUAAAAGACAUCGAAGAAUUGGGUUUGUGUAUGGGUUAGGACUUUGAGGUGAGAAUGUUCGCAACUAUAAAAGAACAAUGAAGCCAAUAUGAAAAAUACCUUUAGUCGGCCGGCGACACUUGAAGUUGACUGAAGCUUCAGAGCCAGCGGCGUCACGGCAAGAGAGAGUCAGAGAGUGAGAGACAGAGAAACUUGGAAAU